UCCCUCUCCCUGAGCUAGACCCCGAGCAACUUCAGCUCCCCAUUUUGGUUCUUCUCCCCUAAUCAGAGACAUUCUUUCCCUUUCCCAAUUAUGGUUAUUCUCUCCCUGAUCUAGGUUUUCUACACAGAAGAGUCUCAUCAACCUCUCCCCGAUCUAGGUCAAGAAGACACUGUUGGUGGAGUUCUUCUAUUUCACGUGAUAAGAUUGGAUUUGUUCAUCCAUCCCUGUUUGUCAACUUGAAUGAAGAGGCAUCCUCAUCAUUUGAUGAUAUUAGUAAUGUGGUGUGCUCAGCAGAUGGGAGUGCAGUGUUUUGGAAUAGGGAUCAUAUGUUGGGAAUUUCGACGGAUGUUCUUAUUCCAUUAUAUAAGGAAGCUAAGCGCGCGAUGAUGGCAACAAAUCGACAAUAUAAGGCACUUAAUUGCGUAACUGGGGUUGAGAGCUCUGUAUGUGCCUCAUUAUCUUUGGAUAUAUAACGGUAUUGAAAGUGAAGUCAUAAAGCAUAGCAGGGCUAUUUUGUUAGUGAGUUCUGAUUUUGGCACUGCUUGGCAUUCCAGGAAGAUGGUGUUGUUAAAGAAGCAAGAGCUCUCAAUUUUAUUGGAUGAACUUGUAUUCUUAGCGCUUGUUCUUUCAUAUGCACCUAAAUCUGAGCAUGCUUGGAGCCACAGGCGAUGGGUCAUCAAGUUAAUUGUUGGAAAGUGUUCAACUCUGCAAGAGAUCGUCACCAAAGAGUUUGAGCUGGUGGAGAAAAUAGCCGAGGUUUAUAUUCAGUUCAGGAAUUGCGUACUUUUAAUUUGCAAAGGUUUAUUAUUUAAACUUUGAAGUCAAAUUUCAUUUAUCACAUAUGUUGUCUUUUUGUUGUUUUCUGUGUUGCUCACCUAGAGAAAACAACAAAUUUCACACCAAUUACUGUAGCA